UACGUAGGGUCCAAGCGUUAUCCGGAAUCACUGGGCGUAAAGCGUGCGUAGGCGGCGUGUUAAGUGUGAUGUUAAAUCGUGUGGCUCAACCAUAUCGAUGCAUCACAUACUGGCAUGCUAGAGGACGGCAGAGGCAAGUGGAAUUGGUAGUGUAGCAGUGAAAUGCGUAGAUAUUACCAGGAACACCAAUGGCGAAGGCAGCUUGCUGGGCCGACCCUGACGCUGAGGCACGAAAGCGUGGGGAGCGAACAGG
rnacentral:rRNA from 1 species